UACGGGGGGGGCAAGCGUUGUUCGGAAUUACUGGGCGUAAAGGGCUGGUAGGCGGCCAACUAAGUCGGAUGUGAAAUCCCCAGGCUUAACCUGGGAACUGCAUCCGAUACUGGUCGGCCUGAAUCCGGGAGAGGGAUGCAGAAUUCCAGGUGUAGCGGUGAAAUGCGUAGAUAUCUGGAGGAACACCGGUGGCGAAGGCGGGUCUCUGGGCAGUAACUGACGCUGAGGAGCGAAAAGCGUGGGGAGCGAACAGG
rnacentral:rRNA from 1 species